GGGGUGCAACACGAGGACUUCCCAGGAGGUCACCCAUCCUAGUACUACUCUCACCCAAGCACACUUAACUGCGGAGUUCUGAUGGGAUC
rnacentral:rRNA from 1 species